rnacentral:lncRNA from 1 species
UCCCACUCCACCCAGCCUGAGUGUUACUCCACUCAGUCGUACCUGCUUUUUUAUAAGACAGUAGAAUGCCUGCAGCCCUGUUGUUUUAAAAUCCAAAUUGAAAAUUUUUCCGGAGUCAAAGUCAAGUCCCCAGGAAUGGUGGCAGCAAUCUUCUUCCAAGUUUAACGUUCGGCAACACCAUUCACCUCAUUCAAGUAACACGGAGAUCAGGGAAUGAAAAUCCUGAGGAUUCACCUUCUGGCUCUGCUACUGAUUGUUCAGUGACUCCAGGCAAAUUAGCCCUGAGCUAACAUCUGCUGCCAAUCCUCCUCUUUUUGCUGCGGAAGACUGGCCCUGAGCUAACAUCUGUGCCCAUCUUCCUCUACUGUGUAUGUGGGACACCUGCCACAGCAUGGCUUGCCAAGCGGUGCCAUGUCCGCACCCAGGAUCCCAACCCAUGAACUCCAGGCCACCAAAGCGGAACAUGCAAACUUAACUGCUGCGCCACUGGGCCGGCCCCCUGAUAUUCAAAUUUUACAUUGUUAUUCACAGUUAAGUCAGAUCCUGAAUGUGACUACAAACAAUUGCAUUUCUUUCCUUCUACAACUUUUCUGUUUCCCUGAAGGUUUUGGUGGCAAGUUUAUGUUGGCCUCCCAGUAGAUGGUUCUCAUGCUCCAUCUGUCUUGAAGAAGUAAGUUAUCUUGAUGUAAGUGGUUCACAUAUCAAGGAACAACAGGACGCCUCUAGGAGCUAAUGUUGGUGACAAGCUAGAAACUGAAGCUUCAGUCCAGCAGCUGCAAAGAAAUGAAUUCUACCAACAACCCAUGGAAACUUGGGAGUGGAUCUUUCCCCAGUCAAACUUCCAGAUGAGAACAUAGGCCAGAUGACACCUCGACUGCAGCCUUGUAAGACCUUGAGCAGAGAACACAGAUAAAUAGUCCC